rnacentral:rRNA from 1 species
GUCGAGCGAGAAUUUGUGAUUGGAAGCUUCGGCCGAAGAGAGCGAAGGAAAGCGGCAAACGGCGUAGUAAGGCGUAGGUACGUGCCCUCAGAUCGGGAAUAGCCACGGGAAACUGUGGGUAAUGCCCGAUAAUCUCUGCGGAGCAAAGGUGUGAUUCCGUCUGAGGAGCGGCUUACGUGAUAUUAGCUUGUUGGUGGGGUAAUGGCCUACCAAGGCGACGAUGUCUAGGGGGUGUGAGAGCAUGGCCCCCACGACCGGAACUGAGACACUGUCCGGACACCUACGGGUGGCUGCAGUCGAGAAUCUUCCGCAAUGGGCGAAAGCCUGACGGAGCGACGCCGCGUGGUGGAUGAAGGCCCUUGGGUUGUAAACACCUGUCAGAGGGGAUGAAGUCACAUAGGGUACUCCCUUUGUGUUGACAGAGCCUCAGAGGAAGCACGGGCUAAGUACGUGCCAGCAGCCGCGGUAACACGUACUGUGCGAACGUUAUUCGGAAUCACUGGGCUUAAAGGGUGCGUAGGCGGCGAAUCAAGUCAGGUGUGAAAUGCCGGAGCUCAACUGCGGCAUUGCGCUUGAAACUGAUUUGCUUGAGUAUUCCAGGGGUGUGGGGAACUGCCAGUGGAGCGGUGAAAUGCGUUGAUAUUGGCAGGAACACCGGAGGCGAAGGCGGCACACUGGGGAAUAACUGACGCUGAGGCACGAAAGCCAGGGUAGCGAACGGGAUUAGAUACCCCGGUAGUCCUGGCUGUAAACGAUGAGUACUGGGCGAGAGACGGUUCGCCGUUUUUUGCCGUAGCGAAAGCAUUAAGUACUCCGCCUGGGGAGUAUGGUCGCAAGGCUGAAACUCAAAGGAAUUG